rnacentral:ncRNA from 1 species
UAGUUCCUUUUGGAGAAUAGGGAAUCCGGUCAGAAUCCGGAACGGUACCGCCACUGUAAUCGUUGAGAGUUCCAUCGUGACGCAAGUCGGUCAUUGAGGUUUUUCACCUCGAGAAGGCUGUAUGGAGGUCGUUUGAAACGUAAGUCAGGAGACCUGCUUGAAUG